rnacentral:rRNA from 1 species
UGGGGAAUAUUGGACAAUGGGCGCAAGCCUGAUCCAGCCAUGCCGCGUGGAUGAUGAAGGCCCUAGGGUUGUAAAGUCCUUUCGGCGGGGAAGAUAAUGACGGUACCCGCAGAAGAAGCCCCGGCUAACUUCGUGCCAGCAGCCGCGGUAAUACGAAGGGGGCUAGCGUUGCUCGGAAUCACUGGGCGUAAAGCGCACGUAGGCGGAUUCUUAAGUCGGUGGUGAAAUCCUGGAGCUCAACUCCAGAACUGCCUCCGAUACUGAGAGUCUUCGAGUCCGGGAGAGGUGAGUGGAACUGCGAGUGUAGAGGUGAAAUUCGUAGAUAUUCGCAAGAACACCAGUGGCGAAGGCGGCUCACUGGCCCGGUACUGACGCUGAGGUGCGAAAGCCAGGGGAGCAAACGGGAUUAGAUACCCAUGUAGUCCCUGAGCGGGCUGGCAAGGCGCAU